rnacentral:sRNA from 1 species
AUACAUCGGGGCCCUCCCCAUCUUUCCCCACAGGCGGGAGGGGGUGGGGAGGGGCAUUCUUG